rnacentral:rRNA from 1 species
AGAGUUUGAUCAUGGCUCAGGAUGAACGCUAGCUACAGGCUUAACACAUGCAAGUCGAGGGGGCAGCAUUUUUAGUUUGCUUGCAAAACUGAAGAUGGCGACCGGCGCACGGGUGAGUAACACGUACCCAACCUGCCGAUAACUCCGGAAUAGCCUUUCGAAAGAAAGAUUAAUACCGGGAUAGCAUACGAAUAUCGCAUGAUUAUUUUUUUAAUUUAAAAGAAUUUUCGGUUUAUCGAUGGGGGAUGCGUUCCAUUAGUUUU